GACGAACGCUGGCGGCGUGCUUAACACAUGCAAGUCGAACGGAAAGGCCCUGCUUUUGUUGGUUGCUCGAGUGGCGAACGGGUGAGUAACACGUGAGUAACCUGCCCUUGACUUUGGGAUAACUUCAGGAAACUGGGGCUAAUACCGGAUAGGAGCUCCUGCUGCAUGUUGUGGGUUGGAAAGUUUCGGCGGUUGGGGAUGGACUCGCGGCUUAUCAGCUUGUUGGUGGGGUAGUGGCUUACCAAGGCUUUGACGGGUAGCCGGCCUGAGAGGGUGACCGGCCACAUUGGGACUGAGAUACGGACCAGACUGCUACGGGAGGCAGCAGUGGGGAAUAUUGCACAAUGGGCGGAAGCCUGAUGCAGCAACGCCGCGUGCGGGAUGACGGCCUUCGGGUUGUAAACCGCUUUCGACUGUGACGAAGAGUGAGUGACGGUAAUGGGUAAAGAAGCACCGGCUAACUACGUG
rnacentral:rRNA from 1 species